rnacentral:rRNA from 1 species
AUGCCACCACUGGAGCGCCAGCCGGACACAGCCAUGCCGCCUGUAAGAAGAAGCCUUCCGGCUGUAAAGCUACUUUCAGCGGGGAGGAAGGGUGACGUUUAAUAACCUCACCAAUUGACGUUAACCCGCAGAAGAAGCACCGGCUAACUCCGUGCCAGCAGCCGCGGUAAUACGGAAGGGUGCAAGCGUUUAAUCGGAAUUACUGGGCGUAAAGCGCACGCAGCCGGUCUGUCAAGUCGGAUGUGAAAUCCCCGGGCUCAACCUGGGAACUGCAUUCGAAACUGGCAGGCUAGAGUCUUGUAGAGGGGGGUAGAAUUCCAGGUGUAGCGGUGAAAUGCGUAGAGAUCUGGAGGAAUACCGGUGGCGAAGGCGGCCCCCUGGACAAAGACUGACGCUCAGGUGCGAAAGCGUGGGGAGCAAACAGGAUUAGAUACCCUGGUAGUCCACGCCGUAAACGAUGUCGACUUGGAGGUUGUGCCCUUGAGGCGUGGCUUCCGGAGCUAACGCGUUAAGUCGACCGCCUGGGGAGUACGGCCGCAAGGUUAAAACUCAAAUGAAUUGACGGGGGCCCGCACAAGCGGUGGAGCAUGUGGUUUAAUUCGAUGCAACGCGAAGAACCUUACCUACUCUUGACAUCCAGAGAACUUUCCAGAGAUGGAUUGGUGCCUUCGGGAACUCUGAGACAGGUGCUGCAUGGCUGUCGUCAGCUCGUGUUGUGAAAUGUUGGGUUAAGUCCCGCAACGAGCGCAACCCUUAUCCUUUGUUGCCAGCGGUUAGGCCGGGAACUCAAAGGAGACUGCCAGUGAUAAACUGGAGGAAGGUGGGGAUGACGUCAAGUCAUCAUGGCCCUUACGAGUAGGGCUACACACGUGCUACAAUGGCGCAUACAAAGAGAAGCGACCUCGCGAGAGCAAGCGGACCUCAUAAAGUGCGUCGUAGUCCGGAUUGGAGUCUGCAACUCGACUCCAUGAAGUCGGAAUCGCUAGUAAUCGUAGAUCAGAAUGCUACGGUGAAUACGUUCCCGGGCCUUGUACACACCGCCCGUCACACCAUGGGAGUGGGUUGCAAAAGAAGUAGGUAGCUUAACCUUCGGAGGCGCUACCACUUUGAUUCAUGCCC